rnacentral:rRNA from 1 species
GAUGAACGCUGGCGGCGUGCCUAAUACAUGCAAGUCGAGCGAACAGAUGAGGCGCUUGCUCCUCUGACGUUAGCGGCGGACGGGUGAGUAACACGUGUAUAACCUACCUAUCAGACUGGGAUAACUUCGGGAAACCGGAGCUAAUACCAGAUAAUAUAUUGCACCGCAUGGUUCAAUUGUGAAAGUCGGUUUUGCUGGCACUUAUAGAUGGAUCCGCGCCGCAUUAGCUAGUUGGUAAGGUAACGGGCUACCACGGCAACGAUGCGUAGCCGACCUGAUAGGGUGAUCGGCCACACUGGAACUGAGACACGGUCCAGACUCCUACGGGAGGCAGCAGUAGGGAAUCUUCCGCAAAGGGCGAAAGCCUGACGGAGCAACGCCGCGUGAGUGAUGAAGGUCUUCGGAUCGUAAAACUCUGUUAUUAGGGAAGAACAAAUGUGUAAGUAACUAUGCACGUCUUGACGGUACCUAAUAAGAAAGCCACGGCUAACUACGUG